ACGUAGGGUGCGAGCGUUAAUCGGAAUUACUGGGCGUAAAGCGUGCGCAGGCGGUUCCAUAAGACAGAUGUGAAAUCCCCGGGCUUAACCUGGGAACUGCGUUUGUGACUGUGGGACUGGAGUGUGGCAGAGGGGGGUGGAAUUCCACGUGUAGCAGUGAAAUGCGUAGAGAUGUGGAGGAACACCGAUGGCGAAGGCAGCCCCCUGGGUCAACACUGACGCUCAUGCACGAAAGCGUGGGGAGCAAACAGGAUUAGAUACCCUGGUAGUCCACGCCCUAAACGAUGCGAACUAGGUGUUGGGGAAGGAGACUUUCUUAGUACCGCAGCUAACGCGUGAAGUUCGCCGCCUGGGGAGUACGGUCGCAAGAUUA
rnacentral:rRNA from 1 species